rnacentral:rRNA from 1 species
GUGUCAGCCGCCGCGGUAAUACGUAGGGGGCGAGCGUUGUCCGGAAUCAUUGGGCGUAAAGAGCACGUAGGCGGCUUGUCAGGUCGGAUGUGAAAACCCGCGGCUCAACUGCGGGACUGCAUUCGAAACCGGCAGGCUAGAGUCCAGUAGAGGAAAGUGGAAUUCCCAGUGUAGCGGUGAAAUGCGCAGAUAUUGGGAAGAACACCGGUGGCGAAGGCGGCUUUCUGGGCUGUGACUGACGCUGAGGUGCGAAAGCUAGGGGAGCGAACAGGAUUAGAAACCCCCGUAGUCC